rnacentral:rRNA from 1 species
UACGGGAGGAUGCAAGCGUUAUCCGGGAUUUAAUUGGGUUUAAAGGGUGCGUAGGCGGGAAAAUAAGUCAGUGGUGAAAUCCUACAGCUUAACUGUAGAAUUGCCGUUGAUACUGUUUUUCUUGAGUAUGGUCAAGGAAGGCGGAAUGUGUAAUGUAGCGGUGAAAUGCUUAGAUAUUACACAGAACACCAAUUGCGAAGGCAGCUUUCUGGCCCAUUACUGACGCUGAGGCACGAAAGACGUGGGGAGUCGACAGGAUUAGAUACCCCCGUAGU